rnacentral:rRNA from 1 species
CCUACGGGUGGCUGCAGUGGGGAAUAUUGGACAAUGGGCGAAAGCCUGAUCCAGCCAUGCCGCGUGUGUGAAGAAGGCCUUCGGGUUGUAAAGCACUUUCAGUGGGGACGAAAGCCUUGGGGCUAAUACCCUCGAGGAAGGACAUCACCCACAGAAGAAGCACCGGCUAACUCCGUGCCAGCAGCCGCGGUAAUACGGAGGGUGCGAGCGUUAAUCGGAAUUACUGGGCGUAAAGCGCGCGUAGGCGGUCUGAUAAGCCGGUUGUGAAAGCCCCGGGCUCAACCUGGGAACGGCAUCCGGAACUGUCAGGCUAGAGUACAGGAGAGGAAGGUAGAAUUCCCGGUGUAGCGGUGAAAUGCGUAGAGAUCGGGAGGAAUACCAGUGGCGAAGGCGGCCUUCUGGACUGACACUGACGCUGAGGUGCGAAAGCGUGGGUAGCAAACAGGAUUAGAUACCCUUGUAGUC